UACGUAGGGGGCAAGCGUUGUCCGGAAUUAUUGGGCGUAAAGCGCGCGCAGGCGGCUUUGUAAGUCCGGUGUUUAAUCUUUGGGCUCAACCUAAAGUCGCAUCGGAAACUGCAAGGCUUGAGUGCAGAAGAGGAAAGUGGAAUUCCACGUGUAGCGGUGAAACGCGUAGAGAUGUGGAGGAACACCAGUGGCGAAGGCGACUUUCUGGGCUGUAACUGACGCUGAGACGCGAAAGCGUGGGGAGCAAACAGG
rnacentral:rRNA from 1 species